CAAUAGCGUAUAUUAAAGUUGUUGCAGUUAAAAAGCUCGUAGUUGAAUUUUUGCUUGCCGCCGAUGUCGGAACUUCCGUACGUUCGGCGGCGUGCAUCCUUGGGUGGAACCUGUGUGGCAUUAGGUUGUCGUGCAGGGGAUGCUCAUCGUUUACUGUGAAAAAUUAGAGUGUUCAAAGCAGGCUUACGCCGUUGAAUAUAUUAGCAUGGAAUAAUAAGAUAGGACCUUGGUACUAUUUUGUUGGUUUGCGCACCGAGGUAAUGAUUAACAGGGACAGUUGGGGGUAUUCGUAUUCCAUUGUCAGAGGUGAAAUUCUUGGAUUUCUGGAAGACGAACUACUGCGAAAGCAUUUACCAAGGAUGUUUUCAUUAA
rnacentral:rRNA from 1 species